rnacentral:lncRNA from 1 species
CCUUUUUGUAAUGUUCAUAAGCUUGAGACCAUUUCCAUUUCUCCCUCCAGUAACAGCCUGAGAUUGGGAGCGUGUACAAAACCUGAGGGGGCUUCUGGUCUUGGAAGGGACAUGCUGCUUUAUAAAAUCUAAGGAAAGCUGUUUCAUCCUUCCAGUUUUAAUUCUGAAAAAGAGGCAAAGCCUCCAGCAAGUGCCUCAGUGAGUCCUGACCAUAACCUCUUGAGAGCAGCCACGCACGGCAGCUUUUCCCCUGCUGUGCUGUCUCCCCCUGCAAGUUUCUAACCACCCCUCAGAGGAGUGAUCUGUGUUGUUCCUGACUUGAACUUGGUUUCAUGGACCCAGAAAAGAUGACCAGUCCCCAUUGAUACUCCACCUCUUCCCAAGAUCUGUGUCCUUUCCUGCUUGGGUACUGGGAGCUCUGCAAUGGCCUAAGCUUCACACCGUGUUCCCUGUCUGAAGCUCCUCCAGGCAAGAGACCAGUCAGCAGCAAUGUUGGUGCUGUAUCACCAAGCAGGAUGUAUAACAGCAAAGUUUGCCUAUUUUUAAUUCCAUGCAUGCUCUGAUCAUAAUCUUCCUUUGUCUGUACUGACUUUUCACCAGAUUUUUAGGAACUUAAUAUUUUCAGGACUUCUCUCUGCCUUUUGGAAUUGGCCAGCAGUGGUAAGGGACAACGUCUGACAGACCGUUGUAAAACGUAUCACAGAAGGUUUGCUUCCUAAGGAACCAGUCUCAGAUCACCUUCGUAAGUCCAUUCUUACAGGUCUAUCCAAUUGUGCACAGCAUUGCUGAC